rnacentral:antisense_RNA from 1 species
AGUUGUCCAUUCUCAUAUGAGGCCGAAAAGUGGAUAAUUUUUCUUGCAUCUCUCCCUCCCGGAGAUCAGGUAUCAUAUACACCCCCAAAAUAAAGAGCCUUGAAUACUAGAAGAAAAACACCUAGACCUAACAAGAUUAAGUGAAUACCUAAAAUUGUGGUCAUUUUAUUUCGAUCUUUUCC